rnacentral:lncRNA from 1 species
GUUUAGUAGUUUAACAAAACCCCCAAGUCACACACGCUUCUCCGCGCAGAAGAGUAACGAGACGUCUCCCCACUCCGCCCGCUCCUCCUCUGUCGCGCGAUCGGGUCAGGCACGUGAGAAGGCGACUAUGCGCGUGAGGACCCCCGGCCGGCGCGGCUAUAAACGGCGGCGCGGGGCGGCGGCCGGUCUCUUUGUGCGCGCGCUGCGGCGGUGGUUGCGGCCUUGCGGCGGCGUCUGCGCAGUGCGCGGGCCGUGGGGCGCGGGCCCUGGCGUGCGGGCGCGGGCGGGCCUCGCGCAGCAGGUCCCCGACGCCCGCCCGCAGGACCCAGGAGCACCAUGGGUUUCGUGGACACACGCUGGCGGGUUGCGAUGGAGGAGAGGGUGA